GACGAACGCUGGCGGCGUGCUUAACACAUGCAAGUCGAACGAAGAGCGAUGGAAGCUUGCUUCUAUCAAUCUUAGUGGCGAACGGGUGAGUAACGCGUAAUCAACCUGCCCUUCAGAGGGGGACAACAGUUGGAAACGACUGCUAAUACCGCAUACGAUCUGACCUCGGCAUCGAGGAUAGAUGAAAGGUGGCCUCUACAUGUAAGCUAUCACUGAAGGAGGGGAUUGUGUCUGAUUAGCUAGUUGGAGGGGUAACGGCCCACCAAGGCGAUGAUCAGUAGCCGGUCUGAGAGGAUGAACGGCCACAUUGGGACUGAGACACGGCCCAGACUCCUACGGGAGGCAGCAGUGGGGAAUCUUCCGCAAUGGACGAAAGUCUGACGGAGCAACGCCGCGUGAGUGAUGACGGCCUUCGGGUUGUAAAGCUCUGUUAAUCGGGACGAAAGGCCUUUUUGCGAAUAGUGAGAAGGAUUGACGGUACCGGAAUAGAAAGCCACGGCUAACUACGUG
rnacentral:rRNA from 1 species